AGCACCUUUAAUAUAGUCCGGAGAGGCUAAAAAGGGAUGUGUUUUUGUUGUGCGCAUAAUAUGACCUUUGCCUCCGGCAAGGGUCUUUUUUUUA
rfam:Megasphaera micronuciformis F0359 genomic scaffold Scfld14, whole genome shotgun sequence.